rnacentral:rRNA from 1 species
UACGUAGGGUGCAAGCGUUAAUCGGAAUUACUGGGCGUAAAGCGUGCGCAGGCGGCUUUGCAAGACAGAUGUGAAAGCCCCGGGCUCAACCUGGGAACCGCGCUUGAGACUGGCACGCUAGAGUUCGGGAGAGGAUGGUGGAAUUCCCAGUGUAGAGGUGAAAUUCGUAGAUAUUGGGAAGAACACCGAUGGCGAAGGCAGCCAUCUGGACCGACACUGACGCUGAGGCGCGAAAGCGUGGGGAGCAAACAGG